rnacentral:rRNA from 1 species
CCUUACCGGCGCUGACCCGCCUUAGCCUUACGCUCCACCCGUUGUGGUGCUCCCCCGCCAAUUCCUUUAAGUUUCAGCCUUGCGGCCGUACUUCCCAGGUGGCUCGCUUCACGGCUUCCCUACGGCACCGACAACGGUCGCACCGUGGCCGACACCUAGCGAGUAUCGUUUACGGCUAGGACUACCCGGGUAUCUAAUCCGGUUCGUGCCCCUAGCUUUCGUCCCUUGCCGUCAGGUCCGUUCUGGUGAGACGCCUUCGCCACUGGUGGUCCUUCAAGGAUUACAAGAUUUCACCCCUACCCCUGAAGUACCUCUCACCUCUCCCGGCCUCGAGCCGAACAGUAUCUCCUGAAAGCCCAACAGUUGAGCUGCUGGAUUUCUCAAGAGACUUAUCCGGCCGGCUACAGACCCUUUAGACCCAAUAAUAACGGUUACCACUCGAGCCGCCGGUGUUACCGCGGCGGCUGGCACCGGUCUUGCCCGGCCCUUGCUAUGCAAUGCUUUUUAGGCAUCACGACAGCCAGAUUUGUAACCUGGCACUCGAGGUCCCCUUAUCGCCGUUGCCGGCAUUGUAAAGUUUUCGCGCCUGCUGCACCCCGUAGGGUCUGGAUUCGUGUCUCAAAAUCCAUCUCCGGGCUCUUGCUCUCACAACCCGUACCCGUCGUAGGCUA